GUGCCAGCAGCCGCGGUAAUACGUAGGUCCCGAGCGUUGUCCGGAUUUAUUGGGCGUAAAGCGAGCGCAGGCGGUUAGAUAAGUCUGAAGUUAAAGGCUGUGGCUUAACCAUAGUACGCUUUGGAAACUGUUAACUUGAGUGCAAGAGGGGAGAGUGGAAUUCCAUGUGUAGCGGUGAAAUGCGUAGAUAUAUGGAGGAACACCGGUGGCGAAAGCGGCUCUCUGGCUUGUAACUGACGCUGAGGCUCGAAAGCGUGGGGAGCAAACAGGAUUAG
rnacentral:rRNA from 1 species